rnacentral:lncRNA from 1 species
CAUGCCUGCAGCACGUGGAAGUUCCUGGGCCAGGGACUGCACCUAUGCCACAGCAGUGACUAGAGCUGCUGCAGUGACAACACCAGAUCCUUAACCCACUGUGCCACAAGACAGCACAAGAGAACUGGGAUCUUCUAAUCAGCCUCAUUAAACUAAGAUGAAAAUGUCACCCACAGAUUCCUAGAGUGGGAGUUUUUGUUUAGGUGCAAUCCUCACUGGAUUGAGCCCAAUGAACUUAGUUGUACUUCUGAGAAAUGAAUAAAUUUGACAUCUGAGGCUAUCUAUUAGUACUGGUUCUUGUUCGUUUUGGCCAGUAUCUUUAUUGGAUGUUUAAUAGAAAGGGCUGAAAUAUAAAUAUUACUAAGUUGACUCUUCAAGGAUACAAAUUUUACUUACAAAAAAAGAUCUACACUGUAGGCAUAGAGAUUACUUAGUUGGGAAUCUAAAUAUUAGAACCACUGAUACAGAAGAAGUAUGAUGGUGGAGGAAUCCAAUAGCUGAGUCUAUGAAGUUAAGUCUAAAUCAUAAUAUGAACUGAGAAUUUAAGGCUAAUUCAUGUUGUGAACAUUUCAUAAAUUUUAUGUUACAAAGAUAUAACAAAAUAAACCAUGUUGCUGAGAAAACUUUUAAACAAAGAUCAUUUCCUCUUUCAAUUUCUGUCAGUGAAACUGUCACAUUAGUUGUACACCAACAAGAAUUUAAAAAAUUGCAGAGUCAUCCAUUGUCAUAUUUAAGACACUGUGUUCAUUUUAUAAAUUCAGAUAUUCUUAUUGAAAUUUGCUAGUUUUAUAUUAAUUUGUUUAUAUGGCUAAAUAUUUAAGUUUUAUGCAAUAUGCUUUCAAUUUUCAGGCCUAUCAGUUAAUGACAAUGAUGACAGGUCUUUAAUACAUCCUUUGGUUAAUUUAUAUAAUUUACUGAUGUUCAAUAAACAUUUUAAAGGUACGGAUGCUUUAAAUUUCAUAAAGCUUUUAUUAUAUUUUAUAUACCAUAUUUUAGACUACAUUUUGAAUGCCAAACAAAAUCUCUAUUUUUCCCCCAUGCUUUUUUGUGGCUUAUAUAUCUAAAUUCUAUAAAUAUCAUUAAUCUGGCAAAGGUUAGGGUCUGGGACUUUUUCAGAGAUUCAGCUAGUUCCAUAGGAAAGAGACGGCACAUCCAAGUUGAGUGAGUUUCAGAGAUCUUAACAAAGAGAGUUCUUGUGAAGCUACAGGCAAGGUAUAGGGUAACAUCAAAAUACAGAACAGCAUUUAGGGCAGGUACCCCUCUACACCCAAAAUGCAAGUGGGGCAUGCAAUCAAGGAAUACGGGAAGAGAAAAAGAGCCCUUGGGGUUGAGCUGCAAGGUUAAGAGUUGCAGGAAGCCCAUGAAACACAGAGCCAAGUGAUUAAAAGCUUAGUCGUCAUUCUCCUUGCCCUCUCCAGCCACCAGCUAGUGCUCCUCGUUGGCAAAUUCGAUGGUUAGCCAAAGCUGAUUCCGACUGUAGUGGUCAGCUUCCUAUCUCUUAUCACAGGUUGCAGUUACCCAGAGAGAUUAUAAAAAAAGCUAUCUGGAACAUCACAUAAAUAUUUUUCUACAUAUGAAUAUUUGCUGUUAAACACUUAAUCUAAACAUUGAGAUGUUUGAUGGGUAGACAGUUCAUCAUCCAUUUCUCCGGAUCAAUGGCCUUAAUCUGUGUUUAUUCGUCAAAAUCUCUGGAGCUACCAUUGUGACUCACCAGUAACAAACCCGACUAGUAACCAUGAGGAUGUAGGUUCGAUCUCUGGCCUAACUCAGUGAAUGAAGGGUCCCCUUGAGCUGUGGCGUAGGUUGCAGACACAGCUCAGACUCCACGUUGCUGUGGCUAUGGUGUAGGCCAGCAGCUAUAGCUCUGAUUCAACCCCUAGCCUGGGAACUUCUAUAUGCGACAGGCAUGGCCCUAAAAAGCAAAACAAACAAACGAAAAAACUCAUGUUCCAAUACAUAUCUCAGUCCAGAAUCAUUGAGUUAGACCUUCUAUGAAUCAUUGAGUUAGAUACUAGUAUUAAGUCUGUCCAUGCAGAACUCUAUUUAUGGAUACAGUAUUUUGGGCAUUUCCUUUUCCUUCUCAUUUCCUGCCUGUCACUCUUUUCCUUCCAAACAAAACAAAACAAAAAUAAAAAACCAAAAUAAAUAAAGAAAAAGAACAAUGGCUUUAUUGUAUUGUGUUUGGGCACUUGAUGGACACUGUAAGAACUACCCCCAUUUAGUUUUGUUGCAUUUACUGUAAAGAUAUUGAAGACAUUACUCACAGUUUCUUCUUUAAAUAACCCAUGUAAAAAAUGCCUUUCUUCCUCAAUUCUAGGAAUAAUUAUAUUUUUCUUCAGCUGCUAUUUUGUCAUAUAGAUCCCCUGAGUGAUAGUAAUAACUGCACACAAUUUUUUGUUAUUUUUUUGUCAUUAAGUGAAAGUUCUUAGAAUUAUAUCUUGUCCCCCCCGUAGUUAUACAUAUCUGCUAAUUUCUAAAUAUUUUUAUCACAUUAAUUCUUCUGAAAUGUAUCUUUAGUUGGUAUAAUGCAUGUGUAUUUGAAAUAUGCCUUAAAUUCAAUUCAAUUUAAUUAAUUGAAUAUAAUCAAUUGAAAUAUUAAAAAAAAUAGUAACAAGUAAAAGGGGACAGAAAUCUGCUUUCAACUCUUUUUAAGGUUGGUUUGCAUACAUUAACCUUGAAUUUUCAAGGAUGAUAUAAAUUUUUCUCUUUGUGUUUCUCUGUUUAUAUUCUAUGAUGCUCUAAUCAUAACAUUCCUGAUGUCCAUUACAUUUAUGACAGCCUCUGGCUGUUGCUGCGUGUUCCAGUUAGAAUUUACAAACCACCUUUCUAUCUAUUAUUAUUAUAUGUUAUAUAUCAACCUCCACAAAAUUUUGAAGUAAACAGGAUAGCUUGUUAUCUUGAUGGUACAGAAACGAUGUGUUAAAAUGCCUACUCAGAUUAUUACGAAAUGUUAAUUUUCUUCAUAUUUUCCUGUUACAGACAUAAAAUUUCAACUUUUCCAUUCUACAACUGUCAGCCACAUUUAAUGACAAGGUGCAGAAGUCACCCUCUAUUUUCAUGUUGUUCUGUUUUCCUUUUGGUCCUGCACAAUGUUGGCUGCAAAUAUUUUAACAUAAUGAAUUACUAAAGGAAGAGAGGCCAAGGCCCUCCUUGGUUGUACACAGAUUCAUCAUCAAAGCCUUUUCAAGGUAGGCAGAAAGCCAUGUUAAUUUAUUUCAUACAAUCUCCUACUGCCCACGGCAAGUAUUUGAAAAGAUAUUUGAUAUGUCAAAUAUUAAGCCCAACAAUUUUGGAUGAAUGUUUCUGAUUUAAAGGCCAAAUCUUUUCUAAGUUGAAGUCACUCUAACUUCAAUCUUAGAAAUAAAAUGUCAACUAGCAAAAGCGUACACAGAAUAUUUUAUUUUUAUAGUUCAGUCUGAACUAUUGAUCCCAGAGUCUUGGGGCUAAUGCACUGUGCAUUAGUAGAAGAAUAGGUAAUAAUUCAAAGAAAGGGAGUUAGUUAAUUUUCAGUGAGUUUAUUCCUUGGCAAACUGCUGAUAGUAAUUUUUGCAGGUGACCUCCUUCACGCUUGCGUUCUGCCUCUUUGUGUUAGACAAAUCCAAGUCAGCACAUGGCAUUGGUCAAAGUGACUAAAUGAGCUCUUGUUUAUGGGUAAUGAUCCAUUACAUUUAUGACAGCCUCUGGCUGUUGCUGCGUGUUCCUUUGUAGGUAUCAUUGAAUUUUGAUCACUGUUAUUUCAAUGGGACUGAUGAAUUCACCUUAUAAGAGGAAGAAGCUAAGAUGAAUCAAAUUAGAAGCACGAGAAGACAUGAGCUGUUCUGAUUAAGAUGGGAAAGUCAGGCUGAAUUAGUAAACAUGACAAGUGUAUUGAAAAAGAAAUUUUCUGUUAUGGAAGAAUGGAAUCUGUCUCUUUAUACAAAAAGAGAGUCCACUAAAUAUGUUUUAAGAAACUGCUUAAAAAUUAGAGUCAGUAGUAUUAUUAAGUAGACAUCGAUGCUCUUAAAAUUUUUGAAAAUACUUGAAACUCCUUCAGAAUUUAUAUAUCUCUUAGAUAUAUAAAUAUAAAUAAAUAUUUCUUUUUACAAGAACCCAAAAGUACACUGACUACUCAGAGUGGUCCGUGGCCCAGUGACCUCAAUCUCACCUGGGAGUUUGUUAGAAAUGCUGACUCUUGAGACUCACACUAGACUAAGGAAUUAUCCUUUUUUUCUUCCUCUUUUUUUGCCUUCUGUUUUUCAAGUUGGUAAUCCCUAGUCUCUAUCUUCAAUUUUGCUGAUUAUUUCUUCUGUCAUCUCAAAACUGCUGUUGAGAAUUUUUACUGAAUUUUUUAUGCAUUUAUCAUCUCUAGAAUUUUUAUUUGAUUGUUUUAGUUUUUAAAAAUCCUUUCUAGCUAUGGAUAUUCUCUAUUUGAUGAGUACUUGUCAUUUUACUUUCCUUUAAUUCUUUGAAAAUGAUUUCCUUUCAGUCCUUUAAAUAUAUUUGUAAUAGCUGUCUUGAAAUAUUUGGGUGCUCUCAGAUGAGUCACAAUUGUUGCCUCUUUCUUUGCCUAUAUUAUAAAUUUUUGUUGUUGAAAACUGGGCAUUGUACAUAAUUAAUUUUAACAAUUCAGGAUUUUUAACCCUCUUCCUCUUCCCCUGAAACUUAUUGUUCGUUUAUUUCUUUUAGGACUUGCCUGGACUAAUUAUGUAGAGUCUGUUUGUCGGCAGUGUACGGCCUUUGAUGUCUCUGAUAAAUAUUUCUUUUAUUCUACUUUCUAUUUUCAAGACUUUUUUUAAGGCAUUGCCCCUGCAUUGGCCUAGUUUAGUGCUCAGCAGCGAUGGGACAGAGGCUGUGCUCUAACACCUGGAGCUGUGAGUCUCCCAUGUUUUGCUGUUGGAUUUGUGUGUAGCUUUGUGUUUUAGUGACUUGUUGCUGUGUAAUAGUUUAACCACAACCUUAAGCAGCUUAAAACGACAUACAUUUAUUAUUUCAGACUCUGUGAGUCAAGAGUUUGGGCAUUUCUGGGAGUUCCCGUUGUGGCUCAGCAAAAAUGAAUCCAACUAGUAUCCAUGAAGAUGAAGGUUUGAUCCCUGGCCUCGCUCAGUGUGUUAAGGAUCUGGCAUUGCCAUGAGCUGGAGUGUAGGUCACAGAUGUGGCUCAGAUCCCGAGUUUCUAUGGCUGUGAUGUAGGCAGGCAGCUGUAGCUCUGAUUUGACCCCUAACCUGGGAACUUCCAUAUGCUGCAAGUACAGCCCUAAACAGCAAAAAAAAAAAAAAAA